UGGCUUUUCUAGUCUGAUUGGGACAUUUAAGGGUGGGGCUCACAGUUCCUCAGGAGAGAUUUCAUGGGCCCUUCCCCCUGCCUGUGCUGAAUUAAAAAAUACAGGCCAGUGUCAUUUGGCUUGUUGGUUAAAGGAAGACAGUGGGCCUUAGAAUCUGUAAAGGUGGGCCGGAAUGAAGCUGGUCAAAUGUACUGAAAGGGUUUGGUACCUGCUGCUGCUAGCAAAGGAGGGGCUGAUAUCCCCUUCUAGUGCACUCCCUCGAAAGAGGCCUGGUUGCUGCUCUGCCACAAAGGAAACUGGUAGAAAGGAACCAUGGAAACUGGCAGGGACUGGGUGGCUCUCCUAUCAUGUUUGGCAGGCCACCCCCUAUCGUUCCUAACAUUAAAGCUGACUUUCUUGCUGCAAGAACUAUCUCUUUCCUUGAGAGGGCUCCAGAGGGCGCACGAGGACAUUUGGCUGCGCCUCCGCGCCAUCUACGAGACCGGCCCAACCCCAACUCCUCAUCAGCACAGACCAGAAGAUUGGGUCUAUGUCAGAAGGCACCGCCGGGAGACCCUUGAGCCACGUUGGAAGGGUCCCUACACUGUGGUGCUGACGACCCCCACCGCUCUCAAGGUAGACAGCGUGACCUGGGUCCAUCACACUCACGUCCGGUCAGCAGACCCAUCCGUGAUCCGGGAGGACUUCGUCACCAAAUGGAGCAUCAAUUGAGAUCAACGCCACCCGCUCAAGCUCAAGCUAGGGCAUGCUCGACCUGCCUGAUGCUGGUAACAUUGCUCGCGAUCACUCCUGCUACCGGGAGCCCCCACAAUACCGUAUAAUAGACUUAGAUAAUGCCUGCAUCUUCAUGGACAUGGCUCCAAAGAGACAAGGACAAUUUAUAGGAUCACAUGUUUAGUAGCAGAAGAUUUGGCUGCCUAAAGCAGCCAUGAUGCCAAUAUUAUGUUUCAUUGAAUUGAUAUGUUAUAUUGACCUUUGAUUCUCUUGCAGGUUUGAAUGUAUGUUGGUUACCCUGGAAGGGGACUGUGUGGGGUGAACCCCAAAAGUAAAGGGUGUCUAGCUGCCAAGAGGUAAGGAACCCAGCUGGGCAGGGAAGAGUGACCAUCAGGUUUUGGUCUCUGUUGAGAGACAGUUGACGGUGGGCAGCCUGUAUACUGUCUUGCAGGCCUGUGUAACCAUGCCCAUAUCAGGGGUAGUUGGAAUAGAAGGUCUGAGGCAUGGUUAUGCAUAGAAAAAAGUUUUAAUGCCAACAGUUACUGUUUUGUUGUAACUCUGAAGAAUCCAUGAAAAGGAAUUGGCAAGGAAAGUCAGAAAAUCUUAGAGCAGAUCAGUAUGUUUUUCUCCUUAUAUAAUUUCUCUGAAAUAUUGGCAAUGCUAAAUAAGUCAUGGCAAUACAUUUCUUUGCAUAUAUUCAAUAAGACUGGUUCCUAAUAGUGGUUUUAUUAACGGAAAACUUUGACUGGAAUAUCAUGUUUUAAAGAGCCCUGUCUGAGCCCUAAAGACUUAAAGCCAGUAAGAAUGCCAUGAAGAAAGCCUGGUAUCCUGCUUGGGAGCCCUGAAGAUGGCUGGCGCUGGAGCGUCAGGCCCAUGCCCUGCCAUCACUGGUGGUUGGUCAAAGUAGAAGGGGAGCAAUAAGGAUGUCUCUGUGUCCCUGCGGAACCCCGACACACUCUGGGCUGCAACGAGUAGGAGGACUACUGAGAUGGGCCUUAAAGCCUGGAGCGUGGGCUCAGGUGGAGUUGCUACAGGUGAGGGAUUCACCUAACUCAGCAGAUACUGCAGGCAGGCCUGAUGGCAGCUGGAUGGCUUUUCUUCCUGGCCCUACGGGGCACAUUAAGAUUCAACCAUGAGAUUCCAGCAAAGGUAGUCAGUUACCAUUCUUGUUGUGUUUAUGCAAAAAUCAGGACUGUAGAUAAAUUAAUCUUAAUUUGGUUUUUUGAUAGCCAUGGAGGAAUUUUAAGAAGAAAAAUCCCAUUUCGAUAGAAGUUGUUAAAGCUAAAAUGGUUUCUUUCCCUUCCACCGGACCAUUUGUUAAGCAUAUAGGGAUAGCUCAGUUGAUAGUUCUGUGUGCCCAGUACGGCCCUCUAGCAAUGGUGAAAUAGAAAUGCAGUCCGUCUCAUGAUUGAGCCAGAAGUUCCAAGACAAAGGGGGGAAUGAAAGGGCGAGGACUACGCCCUCCAUCUUGCCCCAGGGUAAGGGCCACGCCCUCCAUCUUACCUUGGCCAUGUGUUCGACAAGGCUUCUUCCCGGAAGCCCAAGCCUCUGCUAGCCACACCCAGGACUUCUUUAAACUAACCAAUGACAAUCAAGGGAAGUGCUCACCAUAGAUACAACCACAUCCUGUGUAACAAGACCCCGAAUUGCACCUGGCCAAUCGGCAGGGCCCACAGUCCUUUCUCCUCCCUUUACUCCAACCCCCCCUAUAAAAUCCCUCUUCCCACAGAGCUAGCUCUCUCUCUGCCGCUUGCCGCUGCGUCGGUGAGUAUGGCUGACGGGGAGCUCAAGCUAGCUUGAAUAAAGACUCUGCUUUUGCAUCAGACUCGGCACUCCCUGGUGGUCUUUUGGAGAUCCUGAAAUCUGGGCUUCACACUGUUACAUUCCAGGUACCGUUUUAAGCACUGAACAAAAUAAAUUUUUUUAAAAAUUCCUGAUUUCCUAGAACUAACAUACUAGUGGGGAAAGACAGACACUAAACAAUGAGUAUAGUACAUCAUCACAUUCAUCACAUUGUUUAGUGCAGUGGUUCUCAACCUUCCUAAUGCCGUGACCCUUUAAUACAGUUCCUCAUGUUGCGGUAACCCCCAAUUUCACUGUUACAAAUUGAACAUAAUUAAAGCAUAGUGAUUAAUCACAAAACAAUAUAUAAUUAUAUACGUGUUUUCCCAUGAUCUUAGGCAACCUCUGUGAAAGGUUCGUUCGACCCUCAAAGGGGUUGCAACCCACAGGUUGAGAACCGCUGGUUUAGUGUAUUGAAAGGAAGUAAAUGUUCUGGAAAUAAAAAAGUAAUGUAGAAAACUAGUAAUCACAGGAAGUGUCUGAAGGCGUGCUGGGGAGGUUGCAUUAUUAAAUAGGGUAGUCAGGGUAGGCCUCAUGAACACAGUCGUAGGCAGAAAUGAACAGACUGUGUAGUGAAAAGAGUUUUGUCUCACGUUUCUACUGGAUUCCUGAACAUCUUCCCCCACUUGUUUAAACUAUAACUAGAAACACUCCUAUAUCUUUGAGCAGUACCUGCCUGAUGGAGUCCUUAUUCACACAGUUGUUACAUUGUGGGCCUUUACUCUGCUUUGUACAUUGUCUUCUCUCCAUCAUGGGAUUCUCUGUGAUCAACUUAAACCACUUCAGAACGCUAGAAGCACUGAACUAAAAAUCAGCAAGUUUCUUGAAACUCAGCUGACUAAUGAGGGUGUGGAAUCCAUAGUGAAA